rnacentral:lncRNA from 1 species
GGACCAUUCACCAUUUUUCUAGGUGAUGUUUGGUUGGAGUAGAGCCAUUAUUGUCUAAAACCCUUGUUUUGUGCCAGGACGCUUCUCCCCUGAGCCAUUGGCUAGCAUGAGGAGUGAGGAGGCUUUGUUCUCCCUUCAUCCGGGCCGUUGGUGUUUCCAGAUUGCUGGUCUCUUAAGCUCCAAAUCUGGGGUAUGUGAGGCACAAAGAAAACUCAGGAGCUCAGAUCCCAGCUCGCCUGCUUCUUCCCAUGACCAUGAUAAUCACCUUGUGUUUAUAGAUGGUCUUGACUUACGAUGGUUCCGUUUAAGCCUUGACUUUAUGAUGAUAAAAAGUGAUAAGCAUUCAGUGGAAACCAGACUUCAGAGUUUUGAUUUCAUCUUUUCUCAGGCUAGCAGUAGGCAGCUCAUUACACUCUCUCUUGAGCUUCAGCUCCCAGUCAGUUACAUGAUCGUGAGGGGAAACAGCUGGUUAUCUACAGCGCGUUGUGUCGCUAGCACUUUUGGUUACUGUGUCUGCACGUCCCAUCAUGCCUAUGAAAUGCCCAUCUGUGCAGCUACAGGAGAGAUUUGACACUUUAUUAUAAAACAGGUUUUGUGUUAGCUGGUUUUUCCCAACUGUAGGCUAAUGUAAGUGUUCUGAGCAUGUUUAAGACAGGCUAGGCUAAGUUAUGAUGGUCGGUAGGUUAGGUCUGUUAAGUGCAUUUUAUGUUUAUAAUACUUUAAGCCUACAAUGGAUUUAUCAGGACAUAACCCUAUCAUAAGUAUAUAUAUAAGUAUAUAUACAUAAGUAUAUAUACAUAAGUAUAUAUAAUUAUUUUACAUAUAAUGCCCAGGCUCUUCAUUGUGCUGAGUGGAAGAAAUAGGGAAAAGCAUAUUUAUUCCAUGUACCUACAAGCAGAUGCUUAUUGAUGUGUAAGAUUUCUUUAUGUAUUUGAAAUAGUAAUCCUCCACCAGGGAAUACUAUUAUAUCUAUUGAAAAUACAAGUUCACAGUUUGUGGCUCUUUAAAAACAUUUUAAUGAUAUUUUUGACAGCUAUUUUUACAGAUGUUCUUGAUUUUGAUGUAGUUUCAUUUAUUGUUCUUUCUUUCUUAGAGUAGGUGAUAUUUGUUUCUUGUUUAAGAAAUAACCCUUUUCCCAGGGGAAGGGAAGAUAAUCUCUUGAAAUUUCUUCCAAAAAUUUAGUAUUUUUGCUUCUUGCAUUUAAAUUCUUAGUCCUCCUGGAAUUGAUUUUGGUGUAUGUAACAGGGCAGGGAUCCAAUGUCAUAUUUUAAGAUUGCUUAAUUGAAGUGUUACUGAUAUAUUUAAAGUGUGCAAAUGAUAAGUUUUGACAUAUACCUGUGUACACCUUUAUAACUACUCUAUAAUACAGAAAAUAAAC